rnacentral:rRNA from 1 species
GACGAACGCUGGCGGCGCGCCUAACACAUGCAAGUCGAACGAGCGAGAGAGAGCUUGCUUUCUUGAGCGAGUGGCGAACGGGUGAGUAACGCGUGAGGAACCUGCCUCAAAGAGGGGGACAACAGUUGGAAACGACUGCUAAUACCGCAUAAGCCCACGACCCGGCAUCGGGUUGAGGGAAAAGGAGCAAUCCGCUUUGAGAUGGCCUCGCGUCCGAUUAGCUAGUUGGUGAGGUAACGGCCCACCAAGGCAACGAUCGGUAGCCGGACUGAGAGGUUGAACGGCCACAUUGGGACUGAGACACGGCCCAGACUCCUACGGGAGGCAGCAGUGGGGAAUAUUGCACAAUGGGGGAAACCCUGAUGCAGCGACGCCGCGUGGAGGAAGAAGGUCUUCGGAUUGUAAACUCCUGUUGUUGAGGAAGAUAAUGACGGUACUCAACAAGGAAGUGACGGCUAACUACGUGCCAGCAGCCGCGGUAAAACGUAGGUCACAAGCGUUGUCCGGAAUUACUGGGUGUAAAGGGAGCGCAGGCGGGAAGACAAGUUGGAAGUGAAAUCUAUGGGCUCAACCCAUAAACUGCUUUCAAAACUGUUUUUCUUGAGUAGUGCAGAGGUAGGCGGAAUUCCCGGUGUAGCGGUGGAAUGCGUAGAUAUCGGGAGGAACACCAGUGGCGAAGGCGGCCUACUGGGCACCAACUGACGCUGAGGCUCGAAAGUGUGGGUAGCAAACAGG